ACGGGUGAGUAAUACAUCGGAACGUGCCCGAUCGUGGGGGAUAACGGAGCGAAAGCUUUGCUAAUACCGCAUACGAUCUACGGAUGAAAGCAGGGGACCGCAAGGCCUUGCGCGGACGGAGCGGCCGAUGGCAGAUUAGGUAGUUGGUGGGAUAAAAGCUUACCAAGCCGACGAUCUGUAGCUGGUCUGAGAGGACGACCAGCCACACUGGGACUGAGACACGGCCCAGACUCCUACGGGAGGCAGCAGUGGGGAAUUUUGGACAAUGGGCGAAAGCCUGAUCCAGCCAUGCCGCGUGCAGGAUGAAGGCCUUCGGGUUGUAAACUGCUUUUGUACGGAACGAAAAGACUCUUUCUAAUAAAGAGGGUCCAUGACGGUACCGUAAGAAUAAGCACCGGCUAACUACGUGCCAGCAGCCGCGGUAAUACGUAGGGUGCGAGCGUUAAUCGGAAUUACUGGGCGUAAAGCGUGCGCAGGCGGUUAUGCAAGACAGAUGUGAAAUCCCCGGGCUCAACCUGGGAACUGCAUUUGUGACUGCAUAGCUAGAGUACGGUAGAGGGGGAUGGAAUUCCGCGUGUAGCAGUGAAAUGCGUAGA
rnacentral:rRNA from 1 species